ACAAUGUUUGUCGAAAUAGUGGUGGCGUUUGUUUGGCAUGAUAUCUGGUUCGUCCAUGACAAUUCGAAUAUUUUCCCAGAGGAUCUUUUUGAUUCGGCGCUGGCAUCACUGGUGUUUGGCUAUUUGUUAGCAUUUAUUUGCUUUUCUAUACAAACAUACAUUGGCAUACUGUACGAUAAAUACGAGAAUCAAAAAUUAUUUUUCCUUUACAUCUUUACAAUGGUAGCCCUAGUGUCCGGCAUGAAUGUUUGGCGUGGAUUGUGGCUAUUUGUGUCAUAUUUUGUAGGUGAUAACACUGAAUGGAUACUCAUUCUGAACACGUCGGCUUGGAUCGUAUUAAUGAUUAUAAACUGCUCAUUUUCACUUUCUGCGAAAGAUAUAGCAAAGGAUGCAGAAAAUACAGGAAAGUUUUGCCUGUUUCAAGCUCAAUAUUUAUCGGAAAUAUUGUUUCAAGAGACUGACGUAAAGUCAGAUAGCACGUGCACUAUUUCAACACGACUGUAGUAGUGAUUUACGCCAUCAAGAUAUUUUUUUAA